ACCAACAGUGUCAGUUUACACAACACAUUUACCUUUCAAUUCCUGCUUGAUCAUGGCCUCAAAGUCAGGGAGAGAUGAAUGACUAAUGACUUUUUCUUUCUUGGGUCUUUCCUGGUUGCACACAUAGCUUUACACACGCUCAGCCUUUUAGAUUCCCAGAAAGAUGUAAGAGCUUUUCAAAGUUCACCACUUCUCCCUUGGUCCCCGCUAAGCUAAGCUCUGAGUCAAAUCAAAUAACCAUCACAUGCUGAGCAUACCCAUUUCCAAGAAUCCACAAAUCUGGAAAAAAUUGUAACUUUGUUCUAGGGUGCUUUUCAUAGAGCUCAAAAGCGAUCAAAUCUUUCUGUUGUCUGCAAUUCUGCUGGAUUUUGGCUACUGAGUUCCUGAGCUGGGGAGGACAAGGAGAUGGAGACAGCCCAAGGUUUUCAGCUAUUCUAUGAACUCCUUCCUAUCUCGGUUGUCAAGGAGAUCCACUGCAUCUGUAAACAGGUGGAGAUUAUAGUGUGCAAAAAAUAACCCUCUUUGCGUCUCGAGAAAGCUCUGCUGCCUGCAGAUCUAGGAGGACUUUAAACCAUGCAAUCAAUGCCUUUCUUGGGAUCUGUCAGAGCGCCUUCAGCAGAAGAGAAAUCAGGAAAAGGAUGGAAAGUUCAACUGUGCUCAGCCUUCCAGACUCUAUUCAUUGUUCUCAGAUCUGUUCCUACUUAUGGAGCUGUUGGUUUCAUGGGGGCUGCAUAGUAUUUGUCCUUGAUUUAAGUGUAUGAUUCAGGAAGAGUGAACUGCUUCCUGAGAGUGGAGAGUUAAUUUAGACUCUUUCAAAACCAAAUUGGUAUUUUUUCAUGUGGAAACAAUGAGUUCUUUCCUACUCAACUUAUGAGUAGAAAGUCAUUGAAUGACUAGAAAAUCCUUUAGCCAGUAAAUGUAUGAAGCAAUAAAGGUGUAAGGGAGGUAGAGAAGAGAGGAAAUAAGACAGAAAGAAAGAGAAGUAAAGAUUUUGAAAAGCAAUACAACCACUAUAAGAAAAAGCAUUUCUUUUUAACUCACUGUCUUUGCUCUGUCAAACUACGCUCUAGCCAAAUAAUCAUAUUAUUGUAUAGUAAUGAAUUUUUUUUAUUGUGCUGUGACAUGCCCAAAAUAAAUUUAAUUAGAACUCGUUAUCGAUAUGCAACUUAAAUGGCAGGAGAAGCUUAAGGUGUAAUAAGCUAAUGCUUUAAUAUUUUUCUCAGUAUUUUAGAGCAUUAGUAUCCUUUAUCAACAUAAAUGUCUGAAACAUAUUGGAAAAAGAAGCAAGCAAAGGGGAAUAGAAGUUAAAGAUGAUAUUUCCCUUUGAUAGUUUGUAAUUUUAAAAGCAACUAAGUACAGAAGCUAAGACUUAUAGGAUUUUCUAAAUUUCUAAUGGCUGGUACUGAAUCCCAUAUAAAUAGUUACUACAUGGCCUGUAGGAGAGACUGAUAAAUGAUUCAUACUUAGGGGAAAAAAUGAGGAAAUAUUCAGACUUUAGCUUCCAUCGGAUUGGAGAAGAUGUAUUUUUACACUGCUUAACCUUUAAUCAAAAUUAAAUUAGAAAAUUAAACAUAUACUGUUAGAUGACAGAAAAUCAAUGAAAAGACACCAAGGGUGAAAUGGAAUUCAAACAAAACUGUAUCUAAUUGUUAUGCUGAAAAAUGAACUGCAAGUGGGUUAAAUAAAAUAGUUAUUUUAUAUGAAA